CACCAUUUUCAGAUUUUAUAGAUUAGAAUCAUUUAUGAAAACUAAUCUAAGAAAUCCUAUCCAGUUUUGGAGUUCGCGGUGUUCCGAAUCCUAUAAUACAACCCUCCGAAGGGAACGUCGCUCCAGGGCAGACAAGCAGGCAUAUUAUAGAAAUCUCACGGUGCGACCUAAUGGAAGAGACCGUGGGAUGUGCUGCACAAAUCCCUCACCCACUUACUAUGAACUACUUCCCCUAUUCACCUUGAUUUUGAUCCAUGCAAACACUCUCCGAAGGGAGGCCGCUCCUAUGCACGACACAAAGCCCUGCAUGGACCUCACGGUGUGAACUCUUAGGGACACUAGAGCUAAAAUACAUUAUUUUUCUCUAGUUGAAGUGUUCUAGAGAAAAAAAUAGGGUAAUCCAAGCUUAAGAUUUAUAUUUAGGCUAACUUAAACAAAUCUUUAAGUCUAGAUAAAACGUCCAAGUAUAACCAUUAUACAGGAUUUUAACCUAUGAUGUCUAGGUGAUAAACCAUUUUUAUUACCUCACACCUCUCACGAAUGCUCAUAAAACUAGGUUAACUAGGCUCAAGAACUGAUUACGAUCUCCAGGUAGGAGGUGUUCCGUAAACCGUCAACUUAAGAACCUCCAGCCUUAGUCAUCUUAUCUGACUUGUUGACAAGAUUGAACCAGGUGAGCCUUUU
rnacentral:lncRNA from 1 species